GAUGAACGCUGGCGGCGUGCCUAAUACAUGCAAGUCGAGCGAACAGACGAGGAGCUUGCUCCUCUGACGUUAGCGGCGGACGGGUGAGUAACACGUGGAUAACCUACCUAUAAGACUGGGAUAACUUCGGGAAACCGGAGCUAAUACCGGAUAAUAUAUUGAACCGCAUGGUUCAAUAGUGAAAGACGGUUUUGCUGUCACUUAUAGAUGGAUCCGCGCCGCAUUAGCUAGUUGGUAAGGUAACGGCUUACCAAGGCAACGAUGCGUAGCCGACCUGAGAGGGGGAUCGGCCACACGGGAACUGAGACACGGACCAGACUACUACGGGAGGCAGCAGUAGGGAAUCUUCCGCAAUGGGCGAAAGCCUGACGGAGCAACGCCGCGUGAGUGAUGAAGGUCUUCGGAUCGUAAAACUCUGUUAUUAGGGAAGAACAAAUGUGUAAGUAACUAUGCACGUCUUGACGGUACCUAAUCAGAAAGCCACGGCUAACUACGUG
rnacentral:rRNA from 1 species